CUCUGUUUUCUCCCAAAUCAAUUCUUCAGAACCUAAAUAUUCACUUUCUAUCUCAUCAAAUACAAUAUUUUACAGGAAAACCCCAAUUCAAUAUCAACAAUUUUCACAUUAUUGGUUGAUCAGAGUUUGCAAAAGCAAGUUGUCCCCUCAAGUCGUUCAUAAUCAAGAAGAAGCUCGCGAAGAAGAUGAGGCAGAAUUGCCCCAUCCUGUACCAGAUGCGUACAAUGCGAAGCGCAGGCAUUAGCGCCAAGCUCGGGUUCUUA